GACGAACGCUGGCGGCGUGCUUAACACAUGCAAGUCGAACGGAAAGGCCCUGCUUUUGUGGGGUGCUCGAGUGGCGAACGGGUGAGUAACACGUGAGUAACCUGCCCUUGACUUUGGGAUAACUUCAGGAAACUGGGGCUAAUACCGGAUAGGAGCUCCUGCUGCAUGGUGGGGGUUGGAAAGUUUCGGCGGUUGGGGAUGGACUCGCGGCUUAUCAGCUUGUUGGUGGGGUAGUGGCUUACCCAGGCUUUGACGGGUAGCCGGCCUGUGAGGGUGACCGGCCACAUUGGUACUGAGAUACGGCCCAGACUCCUACGUUAGGCAGCAGUGGGGAAUAUUGCACAAUGGGCGGAAGCCUGAUGCAGCAACGCCGCGUGCGUGAUGACGGCCUUCGGGUUGUAAACCGCUUUCGCCUGUGACGAAGCGUGAGUGACGGUAAUGGGUAAAGAAGCACCGGCUAACUACGUG
rnacentral:rRNA from 1 species